CUGGGCUGGGCUGGGCUCACAGCCCGAACUGGAGAGGUUGCUGCUAGCGAGCUAGGGUUUCUGGUUUUUUGUUCUCCCUCUCUUCGGGUGGUUCCUGCCACUCUAUAUAAUCAUCAGACGUGCAGCUUGACCCUCAAUAUCUGGAUUUUCUGUGUUUGAUUGAUUAGGGUUCAUCGAGAGAUUUUUUAUACUGAAGAGUAUAGUGCAGCGGCUCUCUCGAUUUAGCUGUUUAUUGUAAUUUUGGGGAUGGGAAUUCUGAGUUAUCUUUUGAAAAGAAAAGGGGAGUGCCUGAAAUUGCAAUUCUCUGAUCUGAAUGUGAUAGAUCAACGGGAAUCUAUCCUCAGGCGAAAGUGAAUGGGUUGCGCAGUUGACAAGUUGACUGCGUUUCUGCCUUUAGCUCCGGCACUCCUUUACUCUAUAGGAAUUUGUUGGUGACAAGGUCGAUACAGACAUUCAAACUUCUCUGUUUCGUCUCUUUUUUUUCUCUCUAUGGUAUACCACUUUUGUUUCUGUGAUGGAUGAAAGGGAGGGGAUGAUCGAAAAAACAGACGGAUUCCCACUGAAUCAGAUGGUGAUUACUAACCAGCUACUUCUGACCCUCCAUCAUCAUCUCUAUCUCUUGUUUAACUCUGUUUUUCGUUCAUUCUAUAUUAGCUUCUUAUUUUUAAUCAUAUGAACUUUCGGAAAUUGUUGGCUGGUGAUGUAGAUGACAAUAUUUGCUACUCUUGAGAGUAAUCAGUGAUGAUAUUUUAUCCACCAAGAUCUCUGAGGCUAACAUUCCCUUCCCUUUCAUCACUAAAUCACUUAUCUUUGUACUGAGAACUGACGGAAGUUCAUUUUGAUUUGUUAUAUGUUGAUCUUGUUUUUCGAUAGUCUGGUUUGUUGCAGGUUGAAGCUGAUUUCCAGCGUGGAAUGGAAAUGGGAUUCCCUCCUUGUACUCAAAUGUGCAGUCUUUUUCUUAGUAGUAGUAUGGCUGCAAGCAUUAUCUCCUUACGUCGCCUACGUUCCUUUUGUGAAAAUUGUAAUGCAAGUUUCACCAGCAUUUCUGUCGUAUUAUUAUCCAAAUUAAACUCAUUACCAAUCUCGUGUUCUACGAAUUUGGGCAUGUUCUCUGUAAUGCUAAUUGAUUGUACACUAGAGCCAAUUCUAGCUGGACUCUUGAGCCAAUUUAAAGAUGUUAUUUUGCUUCAUCACUUUCCCUUUUGGCUUUGUUUUCGUAACAAUAACAAAAGGUAAACAAUAACAUAAUAGGCUGGGAUCAAUGCUCAA
rnacentral:lncRNA from 1 species